UAUGGUAACAAAGACAAUCAAAAUGCUCACUGAGAAGAAGAUAGCAAAGUAAUAGCUCCUACCUGCAAUGCCUCCCAGGAAAAUAUGAAUUGGGCUAAGGCCAUGGAAGAGUUCAAAAAGGAUUUUGAAAAUUAAGUUAGCAUGAAUGAAGAGUGCCUGAAAAAGAGGAGAGUGAAGUAAGCCUAGAAGUUGAGCUGGAGCCAGUGUGACAAUCUGAAAUGGCAAAGGCCUACCACAAAGUCAGACUCAUAGGAAGCAAUGCUGCUGACUGUUUGAAGGAUACUCCUAUGUAAGGCAGAAGCAAAACAGAACUGAGGACAAAAUGAAUGGCAAGAACAACAUUGAAUACGUGCCAGGAUCAAAGGAGAAAAUCCAUCAGCGAAGAGAAGGGUUCAAAACACAUUCUAAGAGCAGAGAGGUGAAAGCUAAUUCAAUGAGAUACAGUUGGAAAAAAACAAAACAUGAAGAGUAUUAAUAUAUUCCAGUAUCUGUGCAAAACAACAACAACAACAACAACAACAAAAACAGUGGUUUCACAAAGAGUCUGACAUGACUGAAAUAAUGAAUGAAAAACAACCUUUUUUUUUUUUAAUUUCAGCUUUCUCUAACAAUGAUGUUAAUGUUCUUAAGAAAAGAAAUGUAUUAAUAUUUACUUACAGUACAUACAGGAAAGGCAAGUUUGAUUAUAUAUUAGAAAUAUUUUUUAAACCACAUUUACUAGAAAUUUUUUUGAAUUAUCUUAUUCUUAAAUAAUAAUCUCUUUUAGAAUUCUGAACUACUUUCUUUACAAUAAGCUUAUAAAGUAGGUAUUAUUAUCACUUUUUCUGAUGAAGAUAAUAGUUCAAGAUGAGUAAUAUGUCAUAAAAUUCAAAUGGGUAAUGCAUAGUUGCUCUGGGUAUGAAAUCCAAAUCACUACUAGUCCAUAGUCCUAUCUAUGACAUUAUUCUUUCUUUCAAUAAAGGCAUGUUUUAAAAAUGCCAUGUAAUUGUUAUGAAGAAAAUCAGGACUGUGACAUUUUGAGAUAGUUGGGGUUGUUCUUGUUGGUUUUGGUUUAUUUCUUUUUGUUUCUUUGCGACUGAAUCUUGUGCUCUUUUUUAUAAGAAAAUGUCCAAUUUCUAUGCAAAGUAAUCUACUUCAUUAAUUUUGGUUGGAGACAAUCAUGGGGUUUCAGAAACUAGGGGAUAAACAUCAAGCUGGUGCUAAAAAAAAAUGGGGAAUAAUAAUUUGUAAGUAGAAACCAUUAAAAUUAAAUACCUUUAUCUGAAGAAUGAAAUGAAGACAUUUAACCAAACUUUUUCUCCUUCACUCACUUUGGGAUUUCAAACAUUUGAAGAAUGUUGUCUUAUGAUUUUCUCAGUAAUAAAAAUCCACACCUAAUUUGACAUGAUUUCUUUGGCAGUUAAUAACAACAUGUUAUGUAGUUUAAUGAGUUUGCAAACUAAAUAAUGGCUGUAUGGGGGCGAAAAUAGGGAUAUUUAAAUGCAUAAGGUAAUUUAAAUUUCAUCCCAGUGGCCAUGUAAAUAGAAUUCUGAUUCUCUUAUAAAUUCCAAGUGCUUUCUUGUGUAUACACAUGGUGAAAAAUCUAGUCAUGCAUCCAUAUAGAUAGCUCAUUAUCAUAUUUGAAAAUACCCAUUGCUUGUCUAUCAACCACUUAGCAGGUCCAUUAAAAUGCUUACUUUGUUUUACCAACAGCAAAGCAAAUAGAAAAAUAAUCCUCAUUUAUCAGUAUUUAUACUUUGGUUUUAAAGACAGCUGUACUGAUGAGAACUAUUUAAAAAUACAUCUCUACUUAUUUUGAUAAAAAGCUUUUAAGUAUAACCCUUCUGUCAAAUAAAAUGUCCUUUGAAAGCCUCAUUACCAGAAUAAAUUCUAUUGUAUACAGACUAAAGUGAAAAGACCCAAGCAAGAAAUUAUAUAUAAUGGGCAUUUGGAGAUUGAAGGAUAAUUGAUUUUUUCUAGAAUUCUUAGCCCUUUGGUGUAACAAUGUUUAAUUAUUAUUUAUGCCUUUCAUUAAAAAAAAGUUUGCUAAAAAUUUUACCACAAUAAAUAAAGAAAGAAAAGCAAAGCUAGACUAUUUCUUGAAUAAAAUCAAGACAAACCUUCUGAACAUCCUUAAAAAGUUUAUAUAAAUUGUUAAUUUUCAGGUUUUGUCUGUAUGUAAAGUUAAUAUAUAUUCAAAAAGCAGCUUUAAAAGGCUAUGUAGUCCAUUCUUAUCAUUACUUAUUUCUUCUUCUUUCUAAUUUUAGGAUAAAAGUUGUUAGAAUUUCCAAAGAGUUGAGUUGCAAUGAAUAGGCUUGCAAAAAUGGAUGAAGCAUUUCAUGGCACUGGAAAACAUGGGCUUAUAUUUUGGGUAGCUACUACCCAGAGAAUAGAGGUGGCUAUUUUGUUAAUAGCCUAAAAUUAGACUUCCUUUAGAGACGUAAUAAUGAAAAAAAAGAAAGUAUUGCUGAAUUAAAAGAUCCUUUAGGGCAAAGACACUUCCUGAUUUAUUUUUAUAAUUUUUCUAAUACCUGUAACAAUAUACUGAAUGCAUUAGGUACUAAAUAGAUGUUUGUGAAAUGAGUGAAAAUGAAUGAGUUGAAUGAAUAAAUUCAACUAAAUCACAAAUAACUCACUUAAACUUAUGUAAUAAAUAAAGUCUAAAGUGGAAUUAGAAAACUGUGAGUUUGAAUUUUGCCUUACAUAUUUUCUAGCAAUGUGACUCUUACCAAUUCACUUAAACUUUUAGUUGAAGUUUUCUCAUUUGUAAAAGCCGAAUGAAAUAUCACUUAAGAUUGUAUGAUGAUUAAAUGAAAUACAAAUGAGAUUAAAUGAGAUAUAUACACUUUGUAAACCUUAACAUGCUCUAUUAACAUUAUCAUUAAAAGCUUAAUUCUAUAUUAAUAAAAUGCCACAAAUAUUGAACUUGGGUGAGAGAAUGCAAAAAGUAGAAAAUAUGAGAGGGAAUAAAUGAAUAAGAAUAAAAUGAAAAUUUGAGAACCAAAUCCAAGAGAAAUUCUGAAAAUCAUUUGACGCUGCUUAGUUUUAGGAAAAGAUCUCAUAAAGACAGAUGCUUCACUUGAAAAUGAUGUAGAUAGAUCUGGGAUUAAUUUGAUGGUUUUAUCUGUCAGAGAAUCAAGAAAAAAGUUGCUAGAAACCAAAAAUGUUGGAACAUGAUUUGUAAACAUUACUAGAAUGUAAGUGGCCUUGCCAGGAAUAGUAUAUUAUUCUUCCAGAUUACUUUCUGUCCCAUAGACAGAUUUAAGAAAAUAAUUUAAUAGAAAUAAAAUGAGAGUAAAGAUCAGUUAUUCUUAA